AGCAGGUAAAAGUUUGAAAGUCUGAAAAUAAAAGCAUUGGCAUCAUCAUCGACAUCAACAGCAAAGUGCAGAAAAUGAUGGCAGUAUGUAAACACGGCAUCUGUGUACACUCGCGGAUGACUCAUGUGGCGUUUGCACAUACAAAUUUGCAGUCAUUUCGUGAUUUAUGGUGCAGAAAUACGCUUCUGAUAACCAGGUAAUGUUUAGCAUGAGUGUGAAAAUAAACAAGUGUUUGUACAAGCUGAUUUUGGAGCAUGGAGAGAGCCCCAACCAGUCACGAAACCAGGAGUACAGGUAGUAUGGUGUGACCUGUGGCAGGCCGAUGGAGAGGCCUGGCAACACGACGGUGUGUAGAGUGGCAACAAGCAGACGAAACUCUGGCAAUACUAGAGAAUGUUGUCCAACAUUUAUCUUACCACAUCUUUAAAGGAGGGGAAAAA